CAUGGUGUGCCCGAAUUGGCCAAGGAACUGACUGUAAAUCAGUGCACGCAGUGCUAUGUAGGUUCGAGUCCUACCGCCCUCA